rnacentral:ncRNA from 1 species
AAGGCCUGAUGUGUGUGAGAUUACCCGCUGAAUUUAAGCAUAUAAGUAAGCGGAGGAAAAGAAACUAACUAGGAUUCCCUUAGUAAUGGCGAAUGAACAGGGAUCAGCUCAGUGCCAAAUCGGAAUCACUUGUGGUUCUGAAAUGUGGCUUGAAGGCAGUACCAGUGGCAUCGCGGACGAAAGUCUCUUGGAAAAGAGCGUCAUAGAGGGUGAGAAUCCCGUGAGUCGUUCGCCGUUUGUCACGUACGGUCUGCGUUCUAACGAGUCGCGUUCCUUGGGAUUGGAGCGUAAACGGGUGGUAAAUUUCAUCCAAAGCAAAAUAUAUACUCGAGACCGAUAGCACAAAAGUACCGUGAGGGAAAGGUGAAAAGAACUUUGAGAAGAGGGUUAAAUAGUGCCUGAAAUCGUUGAGAAGGAAGCGGAUGCCGCCGUUGCAUAUGCUGAUUGUAGGAUUGCUGCUCGCUCCUGUCUUCUGCUACUCAUUCACAGACCUGGUCGUGUUGAGCAGUUGUUUGGCAGAUGUUAGUGGUGUUUCCUACUUUCAGUCGUCAG